GGCUGGUCCCAGUGCAGUGCUGUUUACAACUAACUGAUCACAACCAGGUACAGAUUUCUGUGCUCCUUCUCCACUCCCACUGCUUCACUUGACUAGCCUUUA
ensembl:misc_RNA Y_RNA Y RNA